rnacentral:lncRNA from 1 species
UUUUUUUUUUUUUUUUUUGUAUGGAGUCUGUAUCCCACUACAUAUAAUAUCUAAGAUGUACUGAAUGUGAUUGGAAUAGAAAUAUAAAGCUCCUUUUCUCUCUCUUUCUCCCUUGUUUUGCAUUUCUUCUACAUAUAUUUUAAUAUGGUAUCAGAUCCAUCAAUCAGUUAAUAUGCUACCAUCAUCUCUUCUGCUUAUAUUGUGGCCAUCAUUAUUAUAUCUAAGAGUCUUGAAGAUCCCCAUUGUUGAUUUAUUGAUCUCUAUUUUAAAUCCUGCAGAUCUUCUGUUUUUCGAUGAAUUUGUAGAUCCUCUAUUUUUUAAUAGAUUAAUACUCGAAGAUUUUUUAUUUUUUUGAUGAAUCUGCAACUCCUCUCCGUCAUAUUUUUCCUCGUCUUCAGAUCUUCUAUCGUCCCUCCUCACUAUUGUUUGGUCUCUUUCUUUCCAUUUUCGAUUUUACUUGCUACCUUAGGCUCCUUAAUUAUCUAGCUCGAGGUCUCUUGCUCCUUUUCCAUGGUCCUCCAUCCAUGAGGAUCAUCGACCUUCGACCACCAUCUCUCCUAGAACCAACCCACACCACAAUCAUAACCUUCUCAUUGCCACAUCAUAUAAAGUAGCCAUAAUGACCAACAUGUCACUUUGCCAUAUCAACAUACAUAAAACGCAACAUCCUGCAAUAUCAUCAUCUAUUCAGCUAUAAAGCAUGCCAC